rnacentral:rRNA from 2 species
UAUUUUAUUUAGAUGUUUUUUUUCCUUUUUGUAUCACGGGUUUUUGGUUUAUUUAUUUUUAUUUUCUCGAUUAUCAAAGAUCUAAAUAAAAGGUAGUUUUAGUACCUCUUCUGUUAGUUAAUAAUUGAGUUAAUCUUUGUUUAGUGGUGAUAUGCCUUCGAUUUGUUAAAUCUAGUUGUUUUAUUUUUAAGUUAAAGCUUAUAAUAUUAGAUUUGGUAUUAUUUAUUUAAGGAAUAUUUUAUAUUUGAUACUGUUAGAUUUUUUUUAAUAAAGGGUUUAUAGUUGUUAUGUUACUAUAUUAUUUUUACUAUUUUUGUUAUUACUACAUUAUUAUAAAAUACGUCUUGUAUAACUCAGGAAUCUAACAACUGUUUAUUAAAAACAUUUCCUGUUUGUUAACAGGUAGUCUUUGCUCAAUGAUAGUUUAAAUGGCUGCAGUAUUCUGACUGUACGAAGGUAGCAUAAUUACUUGUCUAAUUAUUUUAGAAUUGUUUGAAUAAGUUAAUGUUUGGAUUUUGUAUUAUUAGGUGAUAGUUUAAUUUAAAUUUUCUGUAAAGAUGCAGUUUAUAUUUUAAAGACUAAAAGACCCUACAGAGCUUGUUAGUAUUAUAAAUAAUUAUUUUAGAUGGGGUAUCUUCUCUUUAGUUAAGAGUGUGUUUGUUAUAAAGCUUCCUUAGGGAUAACAGGGAGAUAUCUUUUGGGAGCUCGUAUCUAAAAAGUUUGUUUCUACCUCGAUGUUGAAUUAUGGUUUAGCUAAGGAGUAGGUGCUUUGUGUUGCUUAAGUCUGUUCGACUUUUAAUACCAUUCGUGAUUUGAGUUUAGACCGAUGUAAAUCAGGUUGGUUUUUAUCUUAAUUUUUAAGUAUUGGUACGAAAGGAUUUUAUUUAUUUUUA